UACGAAGGGUGCAAACGUUGCUCGGAAUUAUUGGGCGUAAAGCGCGCGUAGGCGGCCGCUUAAGUCGGAUGUGAAAGCCCCUGGCUCAACUGGGGAAGUGCACCCGAAACUGAGUGGCUUGAGUACUAAAGAGGGUCGCGGAAUUCCCGGUGUAGAGGUGAAAUUCGUAGAUAUCGGGAGGAACACCGGUGGCGAAAGCGGCUUCCUGGUCCAGCACCGACGUCAGGCACGAAAGCGUGGGGAGCAAACAGG
rnacentral:rRNA from 1 species